UCCCACAGGAGCCUGCUGGUCCUGCUGCUCUGCCCCCUCGGCCCUGGUGAGACCACUGCCUUGAGGACCCCAAGCAAAGAGCCCAACAGAACUUGGAGCCCAGGAUACCAGGUGCGUGUUCUAGGGAAGCCCCAGUCCAACUAGCGUGGCCAGAGACCUCAAAUGAGCACCAUGUUCUCCUGCUGUGUCCCGAUGUCCCGAGGCCAUAGCCACAGACGCAUCUGGCCAUUUGCCUGGAGGCACCCAAAGAGCUCCGUGCAGGAGAUGGUGAGGAGCUGGUCAACAGAGGCGCCCCCUCCAUCCCCCUGGCUGAACAGUUUAUAAGCAUUAAGUCCACUCACGAUGCCACGUGACCUUCAGGCCUGUCUCGGAACCAACCGCCUCACUCCCCAGAAGGAAGCCUGGGACUGAAAGCCAUCGGCCCCCAGCCCUCCCUCCCCCGCCCCCUGCACCUC